CCUACGGGUGGCUGCAGUGGGGAAUAUUGGACAAUGGGCGCAAGCCUGAUCCAGCAAUGCCGCGUGUGUGAAGAAGGCCUGCGGGUUGUAAAGCACUUUUAGCAGGAAAGAAGGGGUGAAAGUUAAUACCUUUCAUCAUUGACGUUACCUGCAGAAUAAGCACCGGCUAACUCCGUGCCAGCAGCCGCGGUAAUACGGAGGGUGCGUACGUUAAUCGGAGUUACCGGGCGCGGUUUGAUCGUACCGGCGUGAAAGCCCUGGGCUUAACCUGGGAACUGCGGUGGAUACUGUCGGGCUAGAGUGUGGUAGAGGGGAGUGGAAUUUCCGGUGUAGCAGUGAAAUGCGUAGAGAUCGGAAGGAACACCAGUGGCGAAGGCGGCUCCCUGGACUAACACUGACGCUGAGGUGCGAAAGCGUGGGGAGCAAACAGGAUUAGAUACCCUAGUAGUC
rnacentral:rRNA from 1 species